rnacentral:rRNA from 1 species
UGGGGAAUUUUGCACAAUGGGGGAAACCCUGAUGCAGCGACGCCGCGUGAUUUAGAAGGCCUUCGGGUUGUAAAAAUCUUUUCUAUGGGAAGAAAAUGACAGUACCAUAGGAAUAAGGACCGACUAAUUACGUGCCAGCAGCCGCGGUAAUACGUAAGGUCCGAGCGUUGUCCGGAAUCAUUGGGCGUAAAGGGUACGUAGGCGGGUAAGCAAGUUAGAAGUGAAAUCCUAUAGCUCAACUAUAGUAAGCUUUUAAAACUGCUCAUCUUGAGGUAUGGAAGGGAAAGUGGAAUUCCUAGUGUAGCGGUGAAAUGCGCAGAUAUUAGGAGGGAUACCGGUGGCGAAGGCGACUUUCUGGCCAUAACCUGACGCUGAGGUACGAAAGCGUGGGUAGCAAACAGG